rnacentral:piRNA from 1 species
UCAUAAGGAUCUUCCGGUGCAGAGGCCAGA